UGGGGAAUCUUCCGCAAUGGGCGAAAGCCUGACGGAGCAACGCCGCGUGAGUGAAGAAGGCCUUCGGGUCGUAAAGCUCUGUUGUCGGGGACGAAUGUAGCGCUUAUCGACAACGAGUGCUAAUGACGGUACCUGACGAGGAAGCCACGGCUAACUACGUGCCAGCAGCCGCGGUAAUACGUAGGUGGCGAGCGUUGUCCGGAAUUAUUGGGCGUAAAGGGAGCGCAGGCGGGAGGCCAAGUCCAUCCUAAAAGUUCGGGGCUCAACCCCGUGAGGGGAUGGAAACUGGUCUUCUUGAGUGCAGGAGAGGAAAGCGGAAUUCCUAGUGUAGCGGUGAAAUGCGUAGAUAUUAGGAGGAACACCAGUGGCGAAGGCGGCUUUCUGGACUGUAACUGACGCUGAGGCUCGAAAGCCAGGGGAGCGAACGGGAUUA
rnacentral:rRNA from 1 species